ACAGAGAUAAAUAAAAAGUACCUAGAGGCAAUAAACUAAGACAGUCGAAAAACCUCGUUUUCUUGAGUCGGUUAAAAAUAUAACCUGCAGAUAAAAAUGUAAUGUAGGCCAUUAGAGCAACAGUUUGCAAAAUUCGCAUCUAACUUCAUAGCGAUCGGACCCUUCCUUUAGAAAGUUGACCCUCCAGUCUAUUCAAUAGACAAACACAAUACGACGCGCGAGAGGGAUAUCAAGAUUACCCAGACAAGUGCUGGAUAGAGAGGCAAAUACAGCAUCCCUUUGUUUAGGGGUAGACCCUCAGUACGCUUGCGUGGACAUUCUACCAAAAUGGCUGCUUGAGCACAGUGUCUAUUUUGAUAUUUUUGAUUAUGUUCUAUUUUUGUAUGAAAAUACUGAAACAAUCUGACAGUAGUUGAUUAGUGUUGAUUUUUUUUAUAACGUUUUUAGUUCAUAAUAAGUUGAUAUUAAGAAGAAAGUUCUGAAGGCAACCAAGCAGACUCCAAGCCUGCCGUCCAAGUUGCUGAAGCAUCCAUCUAGCUUGGUAGCAACUCAGGAAUACCUUCUAAAUGAAUCCAUCAAAGUUACUCUGAUCCUGAGGGACGACUGCUGCCAACUUCAAACUAGAACUUUAGUACUUAACUACUUGUUCACUGGCCUCGUGUAACCGUAUCUUUAUUUAUAACAAAAAAUGCUGUCUUUUUUAGAGUUAUGCAGAGAUAUAAUAAUAAUAACUUUUAUAUUUGAGUUUGAUUACGCUCUUUGUUGGCAGUUUUGUGUUUUUAAUUUUAUACGAUAAUUAUAUGAGUUAUUUUUUUCGAUGGUGCUAAACAUAGAAUAUGAUAUCAUUU